UACGAGGGGGGCAAGCGUUGUUCGGAUUCAUUGGGCAUACAGGGCGCGUAGGCGGCGGGGUAAGUCUGGUGUGAAAUCUCGGAGCUCAACUCCGAAAUUGCACUGGAUACUGCUCUGCUAGAGGGCUGGAGAGGAGAUCGGAAUUCACGGUGUAGCAGUGAAAUGCGUAGAUAUCGUGAGGAAGACCAGUGGCGAAGGCGGAUCUCUGGACAGCUCCUGACGCUGAGGCGCGAAGGCUAGGGGAGCAAACGGG
rnacentral:rRNA from 1 species